AAUAGGAGAAUGACAAAUUAAAAUUUUCCUUCUAAUAUUCAACUUUUUAUCCUAAAAAAAGUUCAAAUCCAAUUAAAAAUGAUAAAAAUCAGGAGGAAAAAUCUGAUUUAUCAUUCUCUUAUU
rfam:Gossypium hirsutum cultivar TM-1 chromosome 16, whole genome shotgun sequence